rnacentral:rRNA from 1 species
UGGGUAGGGGAGCGUUCUGUAAGCCUGUGAAGGUGGCCUGUGAGGGUUGCUGGAGGUAUCAGAAGUGCGAAUGCUGACAUAAGUAACGAUAAAGCGGGUGAAAAGCCCGCUCGCCGGAAGACCAAGGGUUCCUGUCCAACGUUAAUCGGGGCAGGGUGAGUCGACCCCUAAGGCGAGGCCGAAAGGCGUAGUCGAUGGGAAACGGGUUAAUAUUCCCGUACUUGGUGUUACUGCGAAGGGGGGACGGAGAAGGCUAUGUUGGCCGGGCGACGGUUGUCCCGGUUUAAGCGUGUAGGUGUGUGUUCCAGGUAAAUCCGGUUCACUUUAACACUGAGGCGUGAUGACGAGGCACUACGGUGCUGAAGCAACAAAUGCCCUGCUUCCAGGAAAAGCCUCUAAGCAUCAGGUAACACGAAAUCGUACCCCAAACCGACACAGGUGGUCAGGUAGAGAAUACCAAGGCGCUUGAGAGAACUCGGGUGAAGGAACUAGGCAAAAUGGUGCCGUAACUUCGGGAGAAGGCACGCUGACACGUAGGUGAAGUGAUUUACUCAUGGAGCUGAAGUCAGUCGAAGAUACCAGCUGGCUGCAACUGUUUAUUAAAAACACAGCACUGUGCAAACACGAAAGUGGACGUAUACGGUGUGACGCCUGCCCGGUGCCGGAAGGUUAAUUGAUGGGGUCAGCGCAAGCGAAGCUCCUGAUCGAAGCCCCGGUAAACGGCGGCCGUAACUAUAACGGUCCUAAGGUAGCGAAAUUCCUUGUCGGGUAAGUUCCGACCUGCACGAAUGGCGUAAUGAUGGCCAGGCUGUCUCCACCCGAGACUCAGUGAAAUUGAACUCGCUGUGAAGAUGCAGUGUACCCGCGGCAAGACGGAAAGACCCCGUGAACCUUUACUAUAGCUUGACACUGAACAUUGAGCCUUGAUGUGUAGGAUAGGUGGGAGGCUUUGAAGUGUGGACGCCAGUCUGCAUGGAGCCGACCUUGAAAUACCACCCUUUAAUGUUUGAUGUUCUAACGUGGACCCGUUACCCGGGUUGCGGACAGUGUCUGGUGGGUAGUUUGACUGGGGCGGUCUCCUCCUAAAGAGUAACGGAGGAGCACGAAGGUUGGCUAAUCCUGGUCGGACAUCAGGAGGUUAGUGCAAUGGCAUAAGCCAGCUUGACUGCGAGCGUGACGGCGCGAGCAGGUGCGAAAGCAGGUCAUAGUGAUCCGGUGGUUCUGAAUGGAAGGGCCAUCGCUCAACGGAUAAAAGGUACUCCGGGGAUAACAGGCUGAUACCGCCCAAGAGUUCAUAUCGACGGCGGUGUUUGGCACCUCGAUGUCGGCUCAUCACAUCCUGGGGCUGAAGUAGGUCCCAAGGGUAUGGCUGUUCGCCAUUUAAAGUGGUACGCGAGCUGGGUUUAGAACGUCGUGAGACAGUUCGGUCCCUAUCUGCCGUGGGCGCUGGAGAACUGAGGGGGGCUGCUCCUAGUACGAGAGGACCGGAGUGGACGCAUCACUGGUGUUCGGGUUGUCAUGCCAAUGGCACUGCCCGGUAGCUAAAUGCGGAAGAGAUAAGUGCUGAAAGCAUCUAAGCACGAAACUUGCCCCGAGAUGAGUUCU